rnacentral:rRNA from 1 species
GAUGAACGCUGGCGGCGUGCCUAAUACAUGCAAAUCGAGCGAACAGACGAGGAGCUUGCUCCUCUGACGUUAGCGGCGGACGGGUGAGUAACACGUGGAUAACCUACCUAUAAGACUGGGAUAACUUCGGGAAACCGGAGCUAAUACCGGAUAAUAUAUUGAACCGCAUGGUUCAAUAGUGAAAGACGGUUUUGCUGUCACUUAUAGAUGGAUCCGCGCCGCAUUAGCUAGUUGGUAAGGUAACGGCUUACCAAGGCAACGAUGCGUAGCCGACCUGAGAGGGUGAUCGGCCACACUGGAACUGAGACACGGUCCAGACUCCUACGGAAGGCAGAGGUAGGGAAUCUUCCGCAAUGGGCGAAAGCCUGACGGAGCAACGCCGCGUGAGUGAUGAAGGUCUUCGGAUCGUAAACCUCUGUUAUUAGGGAAGAACAAAUGUGUAAGUAACUAUGCACGUCUUGACGGUACCUAAUCAGAAAGCCACGGCUAACUACGU